rnacentral:rRNA from 1 species
GCCUAGCCGUAAAUAAUUAACUUACACCAAUCAACGCCAGGGGACUACGAGCAAUGCUUAAAACCCAAAGGACUUGACGGUGUUCCACCCAACUAGAGGAGCCUGUUCUAGAACCGAUGAUCCCCGCUACACCCUACCACUCCUAGCCUAUUCAGCCUGUAUACCUCCGUCGAAAGUUUACCAUGUGAGUGAUCCCAAGUAGACCCAAUGAUUCACCCAUCAAUAUGUCAGGUCAAGGUGCAGCCUAAGGAAUGGAAAGUAAUGGGCUACAAUUUCUAAAAUAGAACAUACGAAAGUCUAUGUGAAACCAUAGUCUGAAGGCGGAUUUAGCAGUAAAAAGAAAAUAGAGAGUUCUUUUUAACAUGGCUCUGGAACGUGUACAAACCGCCCGUCGCCCUCUUCGAUAAAUUUAACCACAGUUUCUAACCC